AGUGAACGCUGGCGGUAGGCCUAACACAUGCAAGUCGAACGGCAGCACAGUAAGAGCUUGCUCUUACGGGUGGCGAGUGGCGGACGGGUGAGGAAUACAUCGGAAUCUACUUUUUCGUGGGGGAUAACGUAGGGAAACUUACGCUAAUACCGCAUACGACCUACGGGUGAAAGCAGGGGAUCUUCGGACCUUGCGCGAUUGAAUGAGCCGAUGUCGGAUUAGCUAGUUGGCGGGGUAAAGGCCCACCAAGGCGACGAUCCGUAGCUGGUCUGAGAGGAUGAUCAGCCACACUGGAACUGGGACACGGUCCAGACUCCUACGGGAGGCAGCAGUGGGGAAUAUUGGACAAUGGGCGCAAGCCUGAUCCAGCCAUACCGCGUGGGUGAAGAAGGCCUUCGGGUGGUAAAGCCCUUUUGUUGGGAAAGAAAAGCAGCAGGUUAAUACCCCGCUGUUCUGACGGUACCCAAAGAAUAAGCACCGGCUAACUUCGUG
rnacentral:rRNA from 1 species